rnacentral:tRNA from 1 species
GGCCGUGUGCCCGAGUGGACUAAGGGAGCGGAUUGCAAAUCCGCUGUGCGAAAGCCAAUCGUGGGUUCGAAUCCCACCGCGGCCU